AGUGAACGCUGGCGGUAGGCCUAACACAUGCAAGUCGAACGGCAGCACAGUAAGAGCUUGCUCUUACGGGUGGCGAGUGGCGGACGGGUGAGGAAUACAUCGGAAUCUACUUUUUCGUGGGGGAUAACGUAGGGAAACUUACGCUAAUACCGCAUACGACCUACGGGUGAAAGCAGGGGAUCUUCGGACCUUGCGCGAUUGAAUGCGCCGAUGUCGGAUUAGCUAGUUGGCGGGGUAAAGGCCCACCAAGGCGACGAUCCGUAGCUGGUCUGAGAGGAUGAUCAGCCACACUGGAACUGAGACACGGUCCAGACUCCUACAGGAGGCAGCAGUGGGGAAUAUUGGACAAUGGGCGCAAGCCUGAUCCAGCCAUACCGCGUGGGUGAAGAAGGCCUUCGGGUUGUAAAGCCCUUUUGUUGGGAAAGAAAAGCAGCAGGUUAAUACCCCGCUGUUCUGACGGUACCCAAAGAAUAAGCACCGGCUAACUUCGUG
rnacentral:rRNA from 1 species